UACAGAGGGUGCGAGCGUUGUUCGGAAUUAUUGGGCGUAAAGGGCGCGUAGGCGGUGCCACAAGUCACUUGUGAAAUCCCCGGGCUUAACUCGGGGCCUGCAGGCGAAACUGUGGUGCUGGAGUAUGGGAGAGGCCAGUGGAAUUGCAGGUGUAGCGGUGAAAUGCGUAGAUAUCUGCAGGAACACCCGUGGCGAAGGCGGCUGGCUGGACCGCAACUGACACUGAGGAACGAAAGCUAGGGGAGCAAACAGG
rnacentral:rRNA from 1 species